rnacentral:rRNA from 1 species
GAUGAGCGCUGGCGGCGUGCCUAAUACAUGCAAGUCGAGCGAACAGACGAGGAGCUUGCUCCUUUGACGUUAGCGGCGGACGGGUGAGUAACACGUAGGUAACCUACCUAUAAGACUGGGAUAACUUCGGGAAACCGGAGCUAAUACCGGAUAAUAUUUCGAACCGCAUGGUUCGAUAGUGAAAGAUGGCUUUGCUAUCACUUAUAGAUGGACCUGCGCCGUAUUAGCUAGUUGGUAAGGUAACGGCUUACCAAGGCAACGAUACGUAGCCGACCUGAGAGGGUGAUCGGCCACACUGGAACUGAGACACGGUCCAGACUCCUACGGGAGGCAGCAGUAGGGAAUCUUCCGCAAUGGGCGAAAGCCUGACGGAGCAACGCCGCGUGAGUGAUGAAGGUCUUCGGAUCGUAAAACUCUGUUAUUAGGGAAGAACAAACGUGUAAGUAACUGUGCACGUCUUGACGGUACCUAAUCAGAAAGCCACGGCUAACUACGUG